rnacentral:rRNA from 1 species
GGACUACAAGGGUAUCUAAUCCUGUUUGCUCCCCACGCUUUCGCGCCUCAGCGUCAGUUACAGACCAAAAAGCCGCCUUCGCCACUGGUGUUCCUCCACAUCUCUACGCAUUUCACCGCUACACGUGGAAUUCCGCUUUUCUCUUCUGCACUCAAGUUCCCCAGUUUCCAAUGACCCUCCACGGUUGAGCCGUGGGCUUUCACAUCAGACUUAAGAAACCGCCUGCGCGCGCUUUACGCCCAAUAAUUCCGGAUAACGCUUGCCACCUACGUAUUACCGCGGCUGCUGGCAC